AGUGAACGCUGGCGGCAGGCCUAACACAUGCAAGUCGAGCGGCAGCGGGUUCCCGCGAGGGGAUGCCGGCGAGCGGCGGACGGGUGAGGAACACAUCGGAAUCUGCCUGGUUGUGGGGGAUAACGUAGGGAAACUUACGCUAAUACCGCAUGAGACCCUGAGUCGACGGACUGGGGGUGGAAAGUGAGGGACCUUCGGGCCUCACGCGACCAGAUGAGCCGAUGUCGGAUUAGCUAGUUGGCGGGGUAACGGCCCGCCAAGGCGACGAUCCGUAGCUGGUCUGAGAGGAUGAUCAGCCACACUGGGACUGAGACACGGCCCAGACUCCUACGGGGAGGCAGCAGUGGGGAAUCUUGGACAAU
rnacentral:rRNA from 1 species